AUUGAGUCACGUCAACAAAACUAAACUGUUCCGAUGUGGACAAGCGUGAAUCCGUCACAAAAAAAGGUUUUAUCGUCCUUAUUUAUUUACUUUUUCUAUCAUACUUUUACGAAACAAAGUCGUUAACGUUGAUAGCUGCUCUAAAGUAACUUAAAAAUGAAUCAAACAUGAACCGGAAGUGUUCUGGUUGACCCCAGUGGCGGAUGUUGAGCAGAAGUUGUUGCUGUCGAUCUCGAACUCCCCUGACCUUUAACCCCUAGAAAAUCUAUGAGCUGUUGUCAAGAUGAAGAUGAGAGAUCCAGACCCAAGAAGGGAGAUGACCUGAAUCCCGUUAUAGAGGCCUGGACUUCCAUUACACCCACGCAGAACCACAGGCCAUGGCAUAGCUACUGAUGAUGCACUAAUUCAUGCAAGAGGAGCCCAACCAGCGCAGGAGAGCUCUGCAGGAAUGCUGCUAAGCUGCAGAUGUACCAGCCAAAUUACUCCAGAGGGGAAUUACCAGGCCAUAAAUCCAGACGUCAGAGAGGAUGGCUACAGCUUAUUUCACGCAGUUUGAAGAAAUCCCGGAGAGGAAGUGAGCUGCAGGGAGGAGAAAGCCGUGACCUCUCCCGGCCGCACCACCUUGGCCAAAGGAUUAAGAAAACAGCGGCCACUGACAAACGUCCAGGAAAUCAGAACCACAUGCGGGAAGGGAGGCAGGCUGAGGACCCCAGCUUGACUGGAAGCCAGACGACCAAAAGUGAUAAGAGUGAAUUAAGAUGUUACUCUCCAGCGGGAAUGUUAUUAUACCGCCAGAGAGUGGCAGUGAGAACAACAGGAAGAAAAACUCCGGGAGCAGAACAGUGACGUAUGGAUGGAAAUCCACAGUGGGUCGGUCGACGGCAUAUGGAACUGUGCUUCCUUUUGAUUAAUCGAACCCCUCAGAAGACUAAUACUCUGAAGGGAACUGGAGGAAAUAAUUUGUACAAGAGACGAUGUUGAGAGUGAUGACAAACAUAGCUUAGUGUUUCCCUGGUUGCACCUCAGCCCUCCCUUCCGCCCUCCGGUGUCGGCUUUGAAAGUGCGUCCCUCCUCAAUAAAUUAUCG